CAGUAACUCUUGCAGGCACUAUGUGAAUUCAUUUAUAGAAAUUAAUGCUUAAAUCACCAUUAAUACACACCACGCACAGUUUUAUUGGUUAUUCACUCUUAUUACUUGCUAAUGCAGACAAUACUGUCAUGUAGAAGUAAAUUAGACCUCAUAUACACACUGUAACAAAUUGCUGUAAAAAUACAGCAUAUUUUGUACAGUAAUAUACCGUUCUUUGUAAAUACAGCUGAAUACUGUAAAUUCACGUGUUUUUCAAGAACAAAAUAUUAACAGCAAGCUACCGUACAAUCUUACAGCAGAUUACAGUAUUUUUCUGGUUUGGGUUGAUUUGAGUGUGACUGUUGCUGCAGUCCGACUGUUACUGGUCUCGGCAAAUCUUCCUGCACAUCACCACAUUUAGCAAACAGCCAACACAAAGAAGUGACGAAAUAGGUUUAAAAUAUUCUGUAUCAGUGAUUUUACUCAUUACUGAGGGAAGAUGUGGAGAAAAGGAAGAACUGAGGACAACGAUUUUCGGGCCGGCUCAGACCUGCAGGGACCAUCUGUAGCUGAUCCAUCCUGCUCCGGUUCACUGAACAAGGCGCUUCCUUGGUAAUCAACCCUGAGAGGGGAACAAAGGCCAGCAAGGAGAUGUCCAAGAGGUCGGGGAGCUGCUCCAGAAAAAGACAUCUACUGUAAAUCCUCAUGUAGCCUCCUUUAUAAAAAGACUGAUGGACUCUGAGUGGGACUUCAUGUAAACCCACAACACCUCUCCACACAGGACCUCACUUUCACAAAGGAAAAGCCCCGUCUGCAACCAGAUGUUCAUACUGUCAUUCUAAGGUAACAAGUCUCAGUAUUGUGUUUGGUUCAGUAUAAAAUACGUCAGUCCUGGUGUCUCAGUUUUGUAGUUCCAGGUUUGUUCCAUGACUUGGUGUUUAUUGAACAUGAUCAAGAGUUAUGAAAGACUGAUUCUGAAGGCAGGGUACCUGAAAUGUGAUGUGCAAUUUUUAAACAGAUUGUUGACAACCUGUUAAAAAUCAUUAGUUGUUUUUAUAGAUUGUAUUUUACAAGACUUCAAUUUCUUGAAAUUUGUUAGUUGCUGAAUGUGUUCAAUGCAGUAUUAAAUAAUUUAAGUGAUAUAUAGGAAUCUUUUGUUACAGUUCAGGAAAAAUGGAAACCAAACUCAGUGUACCUGAACUAGAACAUGCACAAUGAGAACCUGUUCAGCAUGAGGAAAUGAUUGUAUGUUACUAAAAUUUAAUGGGUUAAAUAAGUCAGUUUUUGAACUAUGUUUGAUACAGUG
ensembl:lncRNA